GUUGUAUAGUCAAGUAAUUAAGUGCAUGUGGUGGAUGCCUUGGCAGUCAGAGGCGAUGAAAGACGUGAUAGCCUGCGAAAAGCUCCGGGGAGGCGGCAAAUAUCCUUUGAUCCGGAGAUGUCUGAAUGGGGGAACCCACCUACUUUAAGGUAGGUAUUGCAACAUGAAUACAUAGUGUUGCAAGGCGAACGAGGGGAAGUGAAACAUCUCAGUACCCUUAGGAAAAGAAAUCAAUUGAGAUUCCCUCAGUAGCGGCGAGCGAACGGGGAUCAGCCCAUUAAGUUAUGUGUGUUUUAGUGGAACGCUCUGGGAAGUGCGAACGUAGAGGGUGAUAUUCCCGUACACGAAAGGGCACACAUAAUGAUGACGAGUAGGGCGAGGCACGUGAAACCUUGUCUGAAUAUGGGGGGACCAUCCUCCAAGGCUAAAUACUCCUGACUGACCGAUAGUGAACCAGUACCGUGAGGGAAAGGCGAAAAGAACCCCUGUGAGGGGAGUGAAAUAGAUCCUGAAACCGCAUGCAUACAAGCAGUGGGAGCACCUUCGUGGUGUGACUGCGUACCUUUUGUAUAAUGGGUCAGCGACUUAUAUUCAGUAGCAAGGUUAACCGUAUAGGGGAGCCGUAGAGAAAUCGAGUCUUAAUAGGGCGUUUAGUUGCUGGGUAUAGACCCGAAACCAGGCGAUCUAUCCAUGAGCAGGUUGAAGGUUGGGUAACACUAACUGGAGGACCGAACCCACUGUCGUUGAAAAGCCAGGGGAUGACUUGUGGAUAGGGGUGAAAGGCUAAUCAAGCCUGGUGAUAGCUGGUUCUCCCCGAAAGCUAUUUAGGUAGCGCCUCGGACGAAUACCAUAGGGGGUAGAGCACUGUUUCGGCUAGGGGGUCAUCCCGACUUACCAAACCGAUGCAAACUCCGAAUACCUAUGAGUACUAUCCGGGAGACAGACUGCGGGUGCUAACGUCCGUAGUCAAGAGGAAAACAAUCCAGACCGCCAGCUAAGGCCCCAAAAUCAUAGUUAAGUGGGAAACGAUGUGGGAAGGCAUAGACAGCUAGGAGGUUGGCUUAGAAGCAGCCACCCUUUAAAGAAAGCGUAAUAGCUCACUAGUCGAGUCGGCCUGCGCGGAAGAUGUAACGGGGCUAAAA
rnacentral:rRNA from 1 species